CUCUCCCUCCAUUCGUAUGCCUAUUAAAGCUUGUAAAGUAGGAAACCCUGUGCUGCAAAACAAAAUCUGAACUCCUAACAAAGUUCUCCAACAGCUUUUCAAUCUUAUUUUAUCUUACUCCAACACUUGAACUCUCUGCUUCCAAUGCAAUUCAGAAAGGAAAGUAUCCUUGCAUUGACAAGUAGAAGAAUUGAGUUUUUUAUUUUAUUUUAUUUUUUUAUUUUGAGUCAAAGUCUAGCUCUGUCACCCAGGCUGGAGUGCAGUGGCAUGAUCUCGGCUCACUGCAACCUCUGCCCCUUGGGUUCAAGCGAUUCCCCUGCCUCAGCCUCCAGAGUAGCUGGGAUGACAGGCAUGCACCACCAGCCCAGCUAAUGUUUUGUGUUUUUAGUAGAGACGGGUUUCAUCGUGUUGGUCAGGCUGGUCUGGAACUCCUGGCUUCAGGUGAUCCACCCACCUUUGUCUCCGAAAGUGCUGGGAUUACAGGUGUGAGCCACAGUGCCCGGCCAGAAGAAUGAGUUAACUACAGCUGAGCACACAAAAAAGUAAGAAUCCACUAGGCAGUACUUGAUUAAGUGCCAGAUGACUAGCAGAGGCAAGACAUGCUCUGAGUUAGAAGGAGUCAUCAUGAUUUUUGAAGUUUUCACCAAGUAGAGAGUUAAUUUGGUCUUUUAAGGUUGGGGAGGUUUCUGCAGUCAGGAAUAGGGGGAGAGUACCAGGGACAUGGAGUGGUUUAUGCAAAGCAAACAAAUAAGAAAGCAAAAAUGAACAGAGAUUAGACAACUUUGCUAUCAAGGGGAGUAGCUGCGAUCUGGCUGGAAAAACUGUGAAUAAGAGGCCAAGUAUUUGUUCGGGAGGGCGGUGUUUUCUCUAACUUAUUCAUGAUAAAAUUUUGAUAUAUUGCAUUCCAUCACAAAACAAACAGAAACGCUUUUGAAGAAGGAAAAUGGCUAUAUAAUUAAUUGACGUGCAUUAUAAAAAUCACAACCACCCGUAUGUGCCCAUGAGAAAACCAAUCUAUCGAAGUAAAUAUGAUCUGCUGUGGUCAAAUCUUUAUGAUUUAUUUGCUGCUUAAUCAUUCAUUUUGUCAUCUACAAGAGUAGCAGACGAAAGCUUGGAUUUACUACUACAGAAAAACAAGUACAUAUAGGGAAAAAAUAUUUACAAACUGAGAAAGUUCUAUCCACUAACUUCUUUUCUCUAUGAAUUGGGGAAAGGUCAGGGUUAUCUGAUACAAGGGCAGACCGUUUUGGUUCAGCUCAUAGACCACAGUCUUCCCAGGGAACAUGGAUUAAGUCCUGCAGUGGACCGUGGGAAGCAAGGUCUUGAAAGGAUAAAAUGUGCUUUUAGGCAGAUUACUCCGGUAACCCUACACAGGAUGGGUUGGUAAAGGGAGCAAGGAGAGACAGGAAGACCCGUUAGGAGAUUGCAGCAGUAAACAGCAGUAAUCCAGGCUUGAGUUGGUGCAAGAAGAUCUUGUGUUUAUACAGUACUUUAGGUAUACAAAUUCUCUUCACAGACACUACUUAAAAUGAUUAUGUGAGGAAAUUAUCUGAAAGAAUCGAACAAAAUAACUCACCUAUUCUCUGCCCAGAGACUCAUCGCCUUUCAUCUGUGGCCUCUAUGACAUUCUUUUUUUUUUUUUUUCCUGAGAUGGAGUCUCGCACUGUCACCCAGGCUGGAGUGCAGUGGUGCGAUCUCAGCUCACUGCAAUCUCCACCUCCCACAUUCAAGUGAUUCUCUUGCCUCAGCCUCCCAAGUAGCUGGGGCAACAGGCACCCACCACCACAUCCAGCUAAUUUUUGGAUUUUUAGUAGAGACGGGGUUUCGCCAUGUUGGCCAGACUGGUCUCGAACUCCUGACCUCAAGUGAUCUGCCCGCCUCAGCCUCCCAAAGUGCAGGGAUUACAGACAUGAGCCACGGCGCCCAGACUUCAAUGACAUUCUUUACAGCGCAAUAAUCACACGUUGGACACAGUUGCUCUGCUGAAUCUACUUCCACCUGGGGCGGCUCCUCAAGUUUCCUUGGCUCUCAAGGUCUCGACUUUUUUGAAUAUUACAGGCCAUUUUGUAGGCUGUGCCUCAAUUUGGGUUUGUCUAGCGUUUCCUCAUAAGACGUGGGUCCUGCAUCUUUGACGGGAACGUGGCAGAAGUCACGCUGCGACUCCUCAUUGGGUUUCACCAGGUGGCACGCAAUGUCAACUUAUCUCUUUAUCUGUGGGUUCACGUUCAUGAUUUGAUUAGGAUGAUGUGCGCCUGGUCUCACCAUGGUAAAAUUACUUCUAAGGGCUUUCUAAUUACUGAAAUAUUUUGUGAGGAGAUGCUUUGAAAGGCUGCUGGCAAGCCUGGCUUCGGGAGGGUUCCACCUGCAUAGCUGCAAAGCAUCCUGACUUUGAAGGGUACGAGGUUCGGUUUACUUUUUGCUCAGGAAGGAAGGGGGCGGGGAAGGGAGGAAAGAAAGAAGAUUGAUAAAAAGGGAAGAAGGAAGGGAGGGAAGGAGAAAGGAGGGAAGGAAAGAAGAGAGAGAAGGAGAAAGGAGGGAAAGAAAGAAGAGAGGGAAGGAGUGAGGAAGGAAGAAAGGAAGGAAGAAGGAAGGAAGGAAGGAAAGAAAGGAAGGAAGGAAGGAAAGGAAGGGAGGGAUGGAGGGAGGGAGGAAGGGAGGGAAGGAAGGAAAAGUCAGGCACGGUAGCUCACGCUUGUCAUUCAGCACUUUGGGAGGCCGAGGUGGAUCACUUGAGUCCAGGAGUUCUAGACCAGCCUGGGCAACAUAGGAAGGCCCAAUUUCUCCAAAAAAAAAAAAAAAAAAAAAAUUAGCCAGGGGUGGUGGUUCACACCUGUCAUCCCAGCUACUCGGGAGGCUGAGGUAGGAGAAUCUCUUGAGCAUGGGAGGUAGAGGCUGCAGUGAGCCACAAUCAUGCUACCACACUCCAGCCUGGGCGACAGAGUGAGACCCUGUCUCUAUUUGAGACAGCGUCUAGCUCUCUUACCCAGGCUGGAAUGCAGUGGCUCCGUCUCUGCUCAAUUUCAUUUUUCACUGGGCCCUGCAAAUUACGCAGCAGCGGGCCCAGGGUAAUAGAGCAAGAGUCAACUCUUCUUGCCUUUGGGAAUAUUUUGGGGUGACAAUGAGAGGGCAGGAUCUUGUCCUACCGUCAAAGUGGAAGUAAACUUGGAUUUCGCCUCGGGCAUGUGUGUCUGCAGGGCAGAGUGCGGGGCUGGCAGGGAUGGGUUUACAGAUGGAGGUGAAAGAUGGGCCCAAGGCCUUUGGUGGAUCAGACUUAGACAAAGAAGCUGAGGUAGAAAAACAGUGGGGUUGGCCGGGCGCGGUGACUCAUGCCUGUAAUCCCAGCCCUUUAGGAGGCUGAGGCAGGAGGAUCGCUUGAGCCCAGGAGUUCAAGACCAGCUUGGGCAAGCCCCAUAGCAGGAACCUGUCUCUAAAAAAAGAUUUUUCAAAAAUUAGUUGGGUGUGGUGGCGCGCAUGUGAGUCCCAGCUACUCAGGAGGCUGGGGCAGCUGGAUCGCUUGAACCUGGGAGCUUAGGGCUGCAGUGAGCCGUAGUCACGCCACCGCCCCCCAGCCUGGGCCACACAGCACCCUGUCUCAAAAAAAAAAAAAAAAAAAAAAAAAAAGAAAAGAAAAGAAAAAGAAAACGAAAGAAAGAAAAAGAAAAACAAAGCCAG
rnacentral:lncRNA from 10 species